GACGAACGCUGGCGGCGUGCUUAACACAUGCAAGUCGAACGGAAAGGCCCUGCUUUUGUGGGGUGCUCGAGUGGCGAACGGGUGAGUAACACGUGAGUAACCUGCCCUUGACUUUGGGAUAACAUCAGGAAACUGGGGCUAUUACCGGGUAGGAGCUCCUGCUGCAUGGUGGGGGUUGGAAAGUUUCGGCGGUUGGGGAUGGACUCGCGGCUUAUCAGCUUGUUGGUGGGGUAGUGGCAUACCAAGGCUUUGACGGGUAGCCGGCCUGGGAGGGUUACCGGCCACAUUGGGACUGAGAUACGGCCCAGACUCCUACGGGAGGCAGCAGUGGGGAAUAUUGCACAAUGGGCGGAAGCCUGAGGCAGCAACGCCGCGUGCGGGAUGACGGCCUUCGGGUUGUAAACCGAUUUCGCCUGUGACGAAGAGUGAGUGACGGUAAUGGGUAAAGAAGCACCGGCUAACUACGUG
rnacentral:rRNA from 1 species